AAUUCAACAAUGGAGGUAAUGCACCUUUCGGUUUUCAUUCUUCUUUUGAUAGCAUCUUCCCUUCCUACCAUCGACAUGAUCCACUUCCCGUCUUGAAUCACCUCUCGAUUCUACGGAGGUAACGAAUUUUGUGUUUUCUCUAACAAUUGAAAUUAAAAUCAUAUAUUCUUUUAUUAUCUAUAAAUUUAUCAACAUUUUCUUAUGAUGAUAUAUCAUUUCCCUCUCUGAUAAUCCCACUUUUAUGUAUGUUUCACAUACAUGGUUGAAACACAAUUUUUUUAUUUUUUCGAAUAUGUGUUUCCCUAAAAUGUUGUCG